rnacentral:pre_miRNA from 1 species
UCUUCAUUCCUCGCACUCUCUCAUCGGUCCGAAUGAGAAGAGAGUGUGUGAAAUGAAGAGA